CUGUGUGUAUUUGCACAACCUCCCCAUAGCUGCAUGGGUUUUCUCUGAGUACUCUAGUUUGCUCUCUCAUUCCAAAGUCAUGCACAUUAGGUUAAUUGGCAUGUCUACAUGGACUCAGUGUGAGUGAAUGUGAGCAUGGGUGUGAGUGUGCUCUGCCAUGAGAGAUUGUCCUGUUCAGGGCUGGUUCCCACCUCACUCCGUGAGCUGCUGGGAUGGGCUCUGGCCACCCAUGACCAUGAACUGGAAAUAAGCAGGUAUGGACAAGGUUCUGACCCUUAUUAUUGGAACUCAAAUCCAGAUGGAGUUUGAACUUUAAAAAUCAUCCCAAACAGAUCUAUGUACCUGUUGAGCAAUAAUUCCCCAUUCUUUACACCCCUCAGCUCCUGGUAACCUCGAUUCUACAUUGUCUCUACAAAUUUGCCUAUUCUAGGGUACCUAAUGUAAGUAGAAUCAUACAAUAUUUGUCCUCUUAUGUCUGUAUAUUUUACUUAGCAUAAUUUUAUUAAAGUUCAUUUAUUUUUAAUCAUAUAUUAAAAUUGUAUUAUUAAGACUGAAUAAUAUUCCAUUGUAAGUUUAUACCACAUUUUGUUAUCCAUUUAUAUGUUGAUGGAGAUUUGCCCUGGGCAUUUCUCUGUUGGUAGUUUUUUGAUUACUGAUUCAAUUUCCAUAUAAGUUAUAUGCCCAUUAAGAUUUUCUAUUUCUUCAUGCAUCAGUCUUGGUAGGUUGGGUGUUUCUAGAAGUCUGUUCAUUUUGCCUAGUUUAUGCCAUCUGUUGGAGUACAAUUUUUUUGUAAUGCUCUUUUAUAACCUUUUUUGUUUCUGUAAAAUUGGUAGUGAUGUCCCCAUUUUAUUUUAGAUUUUGGUAAUUUGAGACAUUUUUAUUUCUUAGUCAAUCUAGCUAAAGGUAUGUUAAUUUUGUUAAUCUUUUUGAAGAACCAGACUAGUUCAUUGAUGUUAGCUAUUGUUUUUCUAUCUUCUAGUUUAUUUACCUACACUCUUGCUUGAAUAGAAACCACUUAAAAUGUUCAUUUUCUUUUUUUCACACUUUAGGAGAAGGGCCUGUAAAUUACUAUCUGUGGAUCAAAUCUUGCCUGCCACUUGUUUUGUAAAUAAAGUUUUAUUGGAAUAUAUGCAUGCUCAUUUGUUUAUGUACUGUUUUCAUGUUGCAGUGGCAGAGUUGAGUAGUUCUAACAUAGACUGUAUGGCUUCCAAAGCCUAAAAUAUUUACUAUUUUGCUCUUUACAAAAAAGUUUGCUGACUCCUGCUCUAAGAAGCUUUCAAAUAGAUUUAUAUCUAAAAUGCAGCAAUGGCCAAAUUUAUAGUAAUGAUUUCUUUUGCCAGGAAGAUGGAAGGUUUUCUUACUGUAAAACAUUUGCAGAUUUUAAUACUUCUCUCUGCCAUGCCUUGUUUAACAGACAGAUAGGCAUGGAGAAGGCACCAUGUGGCAGUAAGGGAGGUGGGUGCUAAGGGUGUAUCACAACACUGGGAAGCAUAUUCCUUAACAUUAGGAGUUUAUGUGAUUUAGCUGAAGAGAGAACACCUGUAUUAGUUAAAAGGGAAUAUUUAGCAGCAUUUAAACAAAAGCUAUUUCACAUGUCACUAAGUAUACUAUAAGAAUUUCCAGAAAGAAGUAUCAUCCUUUGUCUAAUAGUUCAGAGGAUUUCUAUUAGUAAAUGAAAAAUGACAGCCUCAUUUUAUCCUCCAAAUAUGUCAAAAUUAUCUUGAGUUGUUGGGUACCAGAACUGAUAGGUGUCAUGUAUUUAAGCCCAUUUGAAAAAUACAUUUCAAUAAUGGAGUGAGACUCUGUCUCAAAAAAAUUUCAAAUGUCUUUUCUCAAUUGAAAAAACCUAUUAUUUCUAGAUAGAUAAGUAAAUAACCUUUGCAAACUCGAGCCACACUUUUCCCCUUUCUUUUAAAAUUCAGCUUAAUAUAAUUGAAAACUGAAGUCUGACUCUCCAAGCCUAUAAGGGAUAAAAGAGAGACAGGAUAGAUAGAAAUAACUGGCAACGAGGAGUUACUGGGCUUUGGCUCCAUGGGAGACAAUAGUGGUUUCAUAGAAGGCAAUGGUGGACUCUUAGUCAACUGAAGCUUGGGUGGAACUUAGCUGCAUAAUUAAGAAGCUGAAUCUGUUUUAUUUUAUUUUUCUAUAACAUAAAGAGUGUGAAAAGGUCAUUUUAAUGUUCAGAGAGUGGCUUCUCUUGGAAAAUAUCCCCGAACAUACCAUGGAGCAGUGUCAACUGUAGUAUAAAAUGUCCUAGAAAUCUUGCAAUUUAUGAGUUUAAUGGCACACCUGAGGAUUACGAGGUUUUUUCCGUCCACUCAUAAUAGCCCGGUGACUGAUUUAGCAGAGAGGAAGCAAAAUGAACAAUCUUGAUCACCUUUUAACAUUUUUCCUGUCUUGCUGACUUCAGAGCUUUAGGGGUACAGCAUUUGCAGGAAUUGUAUGUCUUUUUGGCAAUACUUUAAAAUCAAACUCAAAAGAUGAAGAAGAAAAAUGGUUAUUAGAUAGUUAUAAAUAUGUCAUUAUUUGCAAAUGGUAUUGCUUUGUGGAUAUGAAGCUCUUCAUUGCUCAUCUGUUUUUAAGUUCAACGAUCCACAUAUAAAGGUGUAAGGACUUAUUGACAUUGUGCUUCCUCUCUGUUGACACCAUUAGCCCGAGAACUAAGGACAAUGGAUAGCUGUAUAUAAGUUCAAGUUCUGCAUCUACUUCUUAGUUUCCCUUUCCAUCCUUCAGUUGUGUUUGUUUUUUUUUUGAAAUCUGUAAAGUAGGAAUAAUAAUAAAGUUACUAUUCUUUGUAGGGUUUUGAAGGAUUUUCUUGAGAUAAUGUAAAGUACCAGGCAUAUAAUUAGCCUAAAUGUAACUCAACCGUGUUUUUUUAUUUUAAUAUACAUGUCACUACCCAUCUCUAGUGCAGAGAAUCAACAGAAUACAAAUAAUUUUGAAGAUUCAUAUAAUAUUCACACGUUGCAAAAUCUUGUUUGUGGAGCCCUCAUUGUAGCCUGUAUGAUUCAAACGAUGCCACGUAGUCCUUUAAACAUUUCCAGAUAUUAAGGAAUUUUACACUGUUGUGUCACUUUUUAAAUGUCUGCAUUUUUCUGUCUCUCUCUCUCUCAAUCUCUCUGAAUUUGUUUAUCCAGUGAAUAAAAUUAGGAAGAAGUGGAUGCUGUAAGAAUAUUUAUGUGUUUAAAGGUUGUGGUUGCCCCAUUAUAGUUACUUACCAGCAGCUUCAGCACGCAGUCAGAGACUGUAGAAAAAAGAAUCAUUCUUUUCUCUGAUUUGAGGAUGCAUCUCCAGAGUGUUUCUGGGGUAAUGGAUCUAAAAUCAAAAUUUUAAAUGCUAGUUUUUAAGUGUGAAUUUUUCUUCAGCACUUUUGUUCUCUCCUUAUAACCUUUUAUUUCAUUGAGUUCCAGAGAGCAGACAGCUUAGGUUUCUUGAUUUGGCAGAUCAAUGAGGAAGGAUAACUAAAGAAAGUUUAAAGGUAUCUUUUAUACCAAAAUACCUCACUUCUCUUUCAUUGCAGGUGUAGUUAAAAGCACUAAUGCCAUACCCUAGUUUUCUCACCUCUAUUCUUAUUAUACUUGCUUUCUAUGCUUAAGAUGGCAAUUAACUUAAAUAUCUGAGUUCAUGUAGUUCAUCUAGUAGAUAAACAGUAUCAGUGCUACCUGGAUGUAUUUUUGCAUCACUUAUUUGCAUGAUAGUGUUCAAAAAUUUUUGUGAAUUUCAACCACAGAAAAGACAUAAUAGGGCAAUUCUCAAAGGAAAAUAUAGAAAUGACCCAGUACAAGAACAGUAAAAUAUCUUUCCACCUGUUAAUUUGGUAAAGAUCAGAAUGUGUGUGUUAUGGUUUGAAUGUCUAUGACCCUCCAAAAUUCAUAUAUUGGAACUUAAACCCCAAGGUGAUGAUAUUAAAUGGUAUGGUCUUUGGGAAGUGAUUAGGCUGUGAGGGCUUUGCCCUCAUAAAUGGGAUUAAUGUGGGUAUAAAAGAGGAAUCAGAGAGCUGCCUGGCUUUUCCAUCUCUUCUGCCAUGUGAGGGCAGUGUCUGUCUCUUUCCCUUUCUGCCAUGUGAGGACACAACAAGAAGUCACCAUCUUGAAAACAGAGAGCAGCCAUCACCAGACACCAAAUCUGCCAGUGCCUUGAUCUUGGACUGCUCAACCUCUAAAACUGGGAGAAAUAAAUUUCAUUAUUUAUAAAUUACCCAGUCUGGGUAUGUUUUUAAUAGCAGCAUGGAUGGACAAAGACAGUGUGUAACACUCAGUAUCAACAAACUCCAAGGAAAUGGGCACCCUGAUACUCUAUUGUGUAGUGUAAAUUCACACAAAUUUUGGAGAGCAAUUUGGCAAUAUAUAUCAAAAUCUUAAAAAAGUUCUAGGCACAAGAACCCUGUUUUAGAAAUUAAGUCUAUUGGAGUAGUCUGCAGGAAGUUGUGUCUGUAAAUUUGUUUAUCACAGUUCUGUUUAUACUGGAAGAUAACCCUCAAGAAAUGUUAUAUAUCUAAUAAUAGAGGAUUACAAUUACAUGAUGAAAUUUUGUAUAGACAUCAAAAUUAUAUUAUAUAUAUUAUAUAUUAUAGAAAAAUAAAAAUGUUUAUGAAAUGUGAAGGAAAAAAUAUCAUAGGUUAUAAAACAGUUUUCCUUCAAGCCCAUUUCGGUUAAAUUUAUAUAUUUAUGUUAUAUUCUGUAAAUAUUUAUAUUGAAAUGUCCACAGUAACUGUAUAUAAUGGAAGUUGCAGUAAUGCUAACAGGUUUUCCUGACUUAUCUAUAUAUUUUUCAAUUUGCUACAAUAAACAUAUAUUUUUUCUAGAUGGAUAAACAAAGCUGCUUUUUUAUUUUAAACAAAAGAGAUCAGUAAGAUUAUUUUAUUUUCCAAUCAGAUUCUAAGCUCUCUGGGGCAAGAUUCAGCUUAUGAAGUAUCAGAUAACAAACAUAAUAGAUAAAUCUUUGUUUUUCAGCUAUGUGGAUUAUUUUUCUAAAGCAGUCUGGAUGAAUUUUUUAGGGAAAGAUCAACUCUUUAAAAAAUUUACAUUUUUCUUUUGUUGAAUAAGACCAAUAGCAUUGAUGCUAUUAUAAAAGAUAAAUAAAAACCACAGAAAAAUAAACUUGGUUGAGCCUGUUGGGAAAACAUUUAUGGACAAACUAUAUUUUCAAAGAGCUUUGACUAACAUCACUUUAAAUCUUAAAUCUUUCUUGUCCUUCUGGGUGUUCUUUCAUGAAUGAAAAAAACAGAAAGGCUUAAAAAAGAAAUUCCUGCUCACCAUCUCCCUAAAGCACCAUCUCCCUUGCUGCUUUCGGUUGACUCUCAUCAGUUCCUGAGUUCUAGCUAAAAGGUGCUUCUUGAAUAUUUCUCAAAUUUUUAAUAUUCCUGAAAUAAGAUUAUAGGGAUGCAAAUGAUUUUCUCAACAGGUAUUACCUAGAAGUCUACUUUCUAAGUAUAAUGUUUGGGUUAGUUGCCUGAGAACAGGAUGGUGUUUUCUAUGCCCUGGGCAUAGAAAUUUUAUCAAUGAGAGAAUCUGGCUGAUUAGCUUGAGCUUAUUAAUAUUGGUGAGCAUUUUUAGGUUUGGGGUAGCUUAUUUUAUGGUUCUUUUGCAAGGAAAUUGCAGAAUUACAUAAAUUUUUGUUUAUUGUGUCUCUGGCUCUUCUUGCAGUUGGGACUUCACAUCAUUGGAAGGUGAAUAGAAAAGUAUGUCUUAAGAAUUUCACCAUGUUUUGGAAGAAUUGCAGCAAGAAAAAAAGAACUCCUUUGUUUCCACCCCAUUUCUUUUAAGGAAAACCUGGAAUAUCUGAGGGUGCAAGCUGAGAAAAGUCUGCUUAUCUGUUCCCUACUCUGGCAAUCAAAAAGGAUCCAAGUCUACUGUUCUCUUCUCCUGGCACUCUUAACUUGCACACAUUGCAACCUUUUAUGGCAAAGUAAUGGUCAAGCUAUCCUAACAAGGACGAGCCCUUAUUAAAUAAUUCACUGUGGUUGGGAAAUGGUGAGGAAGCCAUCUUCUUUUGUCUUCUUUUCUCUGAAAAUAAAAUUUUGUCUAAUUUUGUAUUAAGGACAUUUGGGCUUCACUUUAUUACAUUCUCUACUUUCUUUAAUAGCUCGAAGCUCAUGACAGUACAUGUCUGGUCUUGCAAAACAAGAUGAAUUUGUUAAAUUAAACUUUUAAAAAAAAUCA
rnacentral:lncRNA from 1 species